rnacentral:rRNA from 1 species
UACGUAGGGGGCAAGCGUUGUCCGGAAUCAUUGGGCGUAAAGAGCGUGUAGGCGGCCCGGUAAGUCCGCUGUGAAAGUCCAGGGCUCAACCCUGAGCUUGCGGUCGAUACGGGCAUGACUGGAGUUCGGCAGGGGAGACUGGAAUUCCCGGUGUAGCGGUGAAAUGCGCAGAUAUCGGGAGGAACACCUAUGGCGAAGGCAGCUCGCUGGGACGUUACUGACGCUGAGACGCGAAAGCGUGGGGAGCAAACAGG